rnacentral:rRNA from 1 species
AUGGAAAAUUUGCUAAUGUUUUAUGGUGACAUCAUACGCGAGGGCCCUUAUGGGCUUGAUGUCUCGAGGUGCACAAGCAAGAGAGUUUUUGUGAAAGACAUGGUCAACAGUGGGUUCAUGGACGUUAAAAGAUGCAUCCAAGCCGAGUUUGGUCCUGAGACGGUUGGAAAGAAUAUGAUUGUCGAAGCUUGCGUCGUCGUAGGUAGGGUUGAUGGGACCCCUGCCCGUUGGGGCUUGAGGCAGGUGAGAGGCGACCUAUCUUGGGGUAGUUACAUGAGGUUUGCAACCACACCUGGUAACUCUAUGUAUGGACGGCCAAUGGUGUAUGUGUGGUUUGUUCAUGCUGGUGUGCUCCGGUUAACUACCACUGGAGGCGCUCACACCCAAUCAGUGGCGCCGAUGGGGGGCAACCAUGUCCGUGAAGAAGGUGUGGUUGUUCCAACCAUGAAUCCCGGACCAUAUCCGUCGGUAGUCGUUGACCUCAACGAAUCCGUGGAGGUACUGUCAGACGAGCUAGAUCAUGGCGAUUAUGCCAGUGGAUCAUCAGAUGAUAGCGACGACGACGAAGGAGGUGAUCCUUCUCAGCCUCUUGCCAUUCAGCAGAGGGCCGUGGUGCCCUCAACGGAGAGAUGGACGGAUAGUGACAUAGCCCGUCAUGAUGCCAUGAUUAGAGACAUGUAG